CCCCCAGGAAGUAAUGACCAGAAACCAGCGGCAUGACCGUGCAGACGGCCGUGCUUUCUUCCUCUGUGGCGGCGAUGAUCUCAGAGGUCGUGUUGCUUCACAACAUUCCUCAUGAGCAGCAGUCAGGUGUGUUUCAGUGAGACAAAGACGCACAACCCUUCUUUCAUCAGGGGGUUUUCACAUCGCGACAGUCGAAUUCUGAUGACUUCCAAACCUUCAUCCUUAUUGCUUUGCUUGGCACUUUCAGGGAGAACCAAAGGCUGAGGCAGACCAAACCUCCUGGAAACACCCUGCAGCUCCAACAGCUGUGCACUUUGGGGGGGUUGUGGAGUUCUUUUUGUUUCAAAAGUAUUUUGUAAAAAAAAAAAGCUGAAAAUGCAGACAAAAUCUGUUUUUGCAUGACUAAUUUGUCCAUAUUGUAACAACAGCAAGGAGACAGAGACUUCCAAGCAGAUCAGACGCAGAUAAUUGGAUCUGCAUCAGACUUUUAAUGGCGUUAGUGCCUGCAGACAAACUCCAGUGUGAGCCAAGGAGGACCAAAGGUUCCAGAGUGAAGAUUUCCUCUGCUGAGAGCGUCCAUGAAAGCCCUGCCGCCCUGUCGCCCUUGAUCAGAGUCAAACUCCCUACCUGGAUACUGUCCUUUCUAAAUCUGCCUGCAGACUGGUUGGAAGGAGAGGGUGACCCAGUCAAAGGUGAUCAUCAACAAGCAUCAUUUACAAACAUCAAGAGGCAUGAGCGUCAACCAUGAAGAGAGAGUCCAUGAUGUCUGCAGGAACAAAGUUCUUUUCUGCUGAAGGAGCAGAUGACAUCCUAAAAGUCAUCAGACAUCAUUCUAGGCCCAGGACUACACUGAUUUAGCAGAGCCAAUCACUACAGUAGAGCACACGCAGACUGAUGAAGAUCAGGAUCAGGUCCAACCUGGUGAGAGCAGCUGCUCACAGAACAAAAAUGCUUCGUACUGAAAGCCGUCUGACACCAGUCCUACAAUCCAUCACAUGUUUUACUUAUGCUAAAGCACAGGGGCAUCCCAUCAUCAUCAUCAGGCAUCCCAUCCUCAUCAUCAGGCAUCCCAUCAUCAUCAUCAGGCAUCCCAUCAUCAUCAUCAUCAUCAGGCAUCCCAUCACUCAGGACAGUGUGGACUUUCUAAAGCUCUUUUAGCCUCUACCAUUAAAGCAUUUCAAACAUU